rnacentral:rRNA from 1 species
CGUAGGGUGCGAGCGUUGUCCGGAAUUAUUGGGCGUAAAGGGCUCGUAGGCGGUUUGUCGCGUCGGGAGUGAAACCUCAUGCUUAACAUGUGGCUUGCUUUCGAUACGGGCAGACUAGAGGUAUGCAGGGGAGAACGGAAUUCCUGGUGUAGCGGUGAAAUGCGCAGAUAUCAGGAGGAACACCGGUGGCGAAGGCGGUUCUCUGGGCAUUACCUGACGCUGAGGAGCGAAAGUGUGGGAGCGAACAGGAUU